rnacentral:rRNA from 1 species
UACAGAGGUCUCGAGCGUUGUUCGGAUUCAUUGGGCGUAAAGGGCGCGUAGGUGGCCCGGUCAGUUCGUGGUGAAAGCGCGGGGCUCAACCCUGCGUCGGCCAUGAAUACUGCCGCGGCUGGAGCACUGUAGAGGCAGGCGGAAUUCCGGGUGUAGCGGUGGAAUGCGUAGAGAUCCGGAAGAACACCGGUGGCGAAGGCGGCCUGCUGGGCAGUUGCUGACACUGAGGCGCGACAGCGUGGGGAGCAAACAGG